GGUUAAGUGACUAAGCGUACAUGGUGGAUGCCUUGGCAGUCAGAGGCGAUGAAGGACGUACUAACCUGCGAUAAGCCGUGAGCAGUCGGUAAGAGACAUUACGACUCACGGAUUUCCGAAUGGGGAAACCCACUCAGCAUAAGCUGGGUAUCGCUACGUGAAUACAUAGCGUAGCGAGGCGAACCGGGAGAACUGAAACAUCUAAGUACCCCGAGGAAAAGAAAUCAACCGAGAUUCCCUCAGUAGCGGCGAGCGAACGGGGAUUAGCCCUUAAGCAUCUUGGAAGUUAGUGGAACGGUCCUGGAAAGGCCGGCGAUACAGGGUGAUAGCCCCGUACACGAAAACAACCUUGAUGUGAAAUCGAGUAGGGCGGGACACGUGACAUCCUGUCUGAAUAUGGGGGGACCAUCCUCCAAGGCUAAAUACUCCUGACUGACCGAUAGUGAACCAGUACCGUGAGGGAAAGGCGAAAAGAACCCCUGUGAGGGGAGUGAAAUAGAACCUGAAACCGUGUACGUACAAGCAGUGGGAGCCCUUCGGGGUGACUGCGUACCUUUUGUAUAAUGGGUCAGCGACUUACAUUUUGUAGCGAGGUUAACCGUAUAGGGGAGCCGUAGGGAAACCGAGUCUUAACUGGGCGUCUAGUUGCAAGGUGUAGACCCGAAACCGGGUGAUCUAGCCAUGGGCAGGUUGAAGGUUGAGUAACAUCAACUGGAGGACCGAACCCACUAACGUUGCAAAGUUAGGGGAUGACCUGUGGCUGGGGGUGAAAGGCCAAUCAAACUCGGAGAUAGCUGGUUCUCCCCGAAAGCUAUUUAGGUAGCGCCUCGGACGAAUACUACUGGGGGUAGAGCACUGUUUGGGCUAGGGGGUCAUCCCGACUUACCAACCCCAUGCAAACUCCGAAUACCAGUAAGUAAUAUCCGGGAGACACACGGCGGGUGCUAACGUCCGUCGUGAAGAGGGAAACAACCCAGACCGCCGGCUAAGGUCCCAAAGUUCUGGUUAAGUGGGAAACGAUGUGGGAAGGCUCAGACAGCUAGGAUGUUGGCUUAGAAGCAGCCAUCAUUUAAAGAAAGCGUAAUAGCUCACUAGUCGAGUCGGCCUGCGCGGAAGAUGUAACGGGGCUCAAACCAGGCACCGAAGCCGCGGAUUCACGCUAAGCGUGAGUGGUAGGGGAGCGUUCUGUAAGUCUGCGAAGGUGUGUCGAGAGGCAUGCUGGAGAUAUCAGAAGUGCGAAUGCUGACGUAAGUAACGAUAAAGGGGGUGAAAAGCCUCCUCGCCGGAAGACCAAGGGUUCCUGUCCAACGUUAAUCGGGGCAGGGUGAGUCGACCCCUAAGG
rnacentral:rRNA from 1 species